rnacentral:rRNA from 1 species
CCUACGGGAGGCAGCAGUGGGGGAUAUUGCACAAUGGGGGAAACCCUGAUGCAGCGACGCCGCGUGGGCGAAGAAGUAUUUCGGUAUGUAAAGCCCUAUCAGCAGGGAAGAAGAAAUGACGGUACCUGAGUAAGAAGCACCGGCUAAAUACGUGCCAGCAGCCGCGGUAAUACGUAUGGUGCAAGCGUUAUCCGGAUUUACUGGGUGUAAAGGGAGCGCAGGCGGCACGGCAAGCCUGAUGUGAAAGCCCGCGGCCCAACCGCGGGACUGCAUUGGGAACUACCGGGCUGGAGUGCCGGAGAGGUAGGCGGAAUUCCUAGUGUAGCGGUGAAAUGCGGAGAUAUUAGGAGGAACACCAGUGGCGAAGGCGGCUUACUGGACUGUAACUGACGUUGAGGCUCGAAAGCGUGGGGAGCAAACAGGAUUAGAUACCCCGGUAGUC